rnacentral:rRNA from 1 species
UCGUCGACGUACGUCUACGAGAGUUAGUUAGUAUCGUCGUCAGGAUGAACGCUAGCUACAGGCUUAACACAUGCAAGUCGAGGGGCAGCGGGAAGGAAGCUUGCUUCUUGCCGGCGACCGGCGCACGGGUGCGUAACGCGUAUCAAACCUGCCGUAUACUCGGGGAUAGCCUUGCGAAAGUAAGAUUAAUACCCGAUGUUGUUUAGGUGUCGCAUGACACUUAAACCAAAGAUUUAUUGGUAUACGAUGGUGAUGCGUCUGAUUAGGUAGUUGGUAGGGUAACGGCCUACCAAGCCGACGAUCAGUAGGGGUUCUGAGAGGAAGGUCCCCCACACUGGAACUGAGACACGGUCCAGACUCCUACGGGAGGCAGCAGUGAGGAAUAUUGGUCAAUGGACGGAAGUCUGAACCAGCCAAGUAAGCGUGCAGGAUGACGGCCCUCUGGGUUGUAAACUGCUUUUAGUUGGGAAUAAAAAAGGGACGUGUCCCUUAUUGUAUGUAUCAUCAGAAAAAGGACCGGCUAAUUCCGUGCCAGCCGCAGC